rnacentral:lncRNA from 1 species
UGCACUAAUGAUUAAUUCAACUGAUCAAAAAAUAAGCAUUAAUGUCAAUUUUGAAAUGCUGUGGCUUUAAAAACUGUAAAGGGGGAUAAGUGGGAACAGAAAACAAGGGAGUUUAAAGUCAUGGCCUGGAUUAAACAUACUUUAGGCUAAAUUUAUUCUAGCAGUUCUGGCCUCUUUGGAAUAGACACUAGAGAAAAUUGCUGGGUUUUUGGAACAGUCAUAUUUUCUGCAACUUUCACUCUCAUCCGCUUUCCUCCUGUCAUCAUCAUCUUGGUCUCAAGAAAGAGGCUGCUUGAUUUGUUUAUGGAAACCUGAUGACAGAAGUUGAAGAAACAGGAAGGUGAGGAAAUCUCUCUGCUCUUAAUCCUAGGAGCAAGACAAAUAUAAUCCAUCCUUCAAGCAACAUUUGGCUCUAAUAAUUAUCCUACAACAGGAAGGGACAUUGCCCAGACUGUAUGCAAUGUUCAUGAAGAGAGAAUCAGAAAAGUGGAGAAGCUUUACAAAGAAACCAACCAAAAGUGGUCUGAAGAAGAAUCCUGUGUAGAUCCUCCAUGAAGCAAGGAGAAAGCAAUUGACUUUGGGAAUUCUACUGUUUUCCUUGGGGUAAUAACGUUCCUCCUCUGAUUUGAACAAGUCUAAUUCUUUUUUGUUAUACAUUCAUAACUUCAUGGUAAUAUCAGUAGUUUAAACUGUUAUAUAUGGAUUUGUACCUUUGAACUUCUUUCAAAAUGUUUCAUAUGAGUACUUUUCCCCAAAUACACUGAUAYAAUUUUAUGAAAUAAACUUGGUGAUUUGAUUUCA